CCUACGGGCGGCAGCAGUGAGGAAUAUUGGUCAAUGGACGAGAGUCUGAACCAGCGAAGUCGCGUGAGGGAUGACUGCCCUAUGGGUUGUAAACUUCUUUUAUAUGGGAAUAAAACAGGGUAUGCAUACCCUCUUGUAUGUACCAUAUGAAUAAGGAUCGGCUAACUCCGUGCCAGCAGCCGCGGUAAUACGGAGGAUCCGAGCGUUAUCCGGAUUUAUUGGGGUUAAAGGGAGCGUAGGUGGAUUGUUAAGUCAGUUGUGAAAGUUUGCGGCUCAACCGUAAAAUUGCAGUUGAAACUGGCAGUCUUGAGUACAGUAGAGGUGGGCGGAAUUCGUGGUGUAGCGGUGAAAUGCUUAGAUAUCACGAAGAACUCCGAUUGCGAAGGCAGCUCACUGGACUGCAACUGACACUGAUGCUCGAAAGUGUGGGUAGCAAACAGGAUUAGAUACCCUGGUAGUC
rnacentral:rRNA from 1 species